UUCUCAUUUAUUCAAUUACAUUUUCAAUUGCUGUUUCCCUGAGGAAGUGUAUAGAGACACUGCCAGGUCUCAUCCAGAAGCCAUUUAGAAUUAUUUAUGAAGAUGGCUUAUUUAGGUUGUUUUGUGGUGAGUUUAAUUAUAUUACCUUUCCCCAUCUCGGCUCCCCGACCCUUAAAAUCCAAUUUCUUAUCACACUCAGGCUCUUGGAAAAGAGAAGAUGCACCAACUUUUUACUCUUUCUCUUCCUUUCCCACUUACUUCUAGAAGCUCAAAGAAUGGUUAGGCCUGCUCCUCUGGUUUGGUGGUAGAUUUUUCCUCCUAGGGUUGAUUCACACACAAGCCCUGGAAACCAGUCUAGGGUCCAGGCCCUAGUAGAUCAGUGUUGUCUCUCAUAAAGCCAGUCUGCAAAUAUCACCCUGAAUCCUACUGUCUGUAGAUGCCUCCAUUCUAAUGCUUUCUAGCUUGUUUUUUUAAGGUCUUUGGACCAGAGAAGAGGCAGCAGGUCUGUAUGUUAAAUGAGGUUGCUAUGUGUGAAAUGGAGCAUUACAAAACCAUUUACUAUUUUGUGUCCUCCAUCCAUUUCCCCUUCAUUAUCCUUUAUCUUUUUUAUAUCUUCUAAAAACUACCAUUAUAGACAGCUUGUCCACAGGUUAUAUACUCCCUGAAUGUAGGUAUCCUGUGUCUCCUGAUGGGUAAGCUUUGCAGGGCUCAUAGCCCUCAAUGCUGUGCACGCAGCAGGAACACAGUCAGUACUUCUGUAAUUGACCAAGUAUAGAUGGAAGGGUUUCUAGCCUGGUGGGCUGGUUUGUAGGAGUAAAGGAAUCCACAUGCUUAGGCCAAUAGUUUUGCUCCCAGUGUCUGGGGCUCUAGGCAGGUUCUUUCAACAUUCUGCAGGAAGCAGCAUUCCCUUGUCCUCCCAUCAUCCUACUCCUUACAGUCAUCUACCCUUUGACCUAUGCCAGGCCUACAGAGACAGUUCUGCAUGACAGCUGAAUUCCCUAACAUCAAUAGGCUCAGGAAAGGCUCAAGAAAUCCAGACCAAGUCCUCACACAGAAGCUGCUCCAGGAGUAGAGGGCAACCAGAGAUCAUACAACAAUGUGUGAACCCAGCUCACAAAGCCAGCUCAGAACCCAUAUCUCCUGCCCAUCCCACUGCACAGGCAAGCCCAAGCACUACUCUGAUACACAUUUCUCAGUGUCAGACAACAGCCCACCCAGAGGUCUCCUGGAGCCUCAAAAGGGCUUCAAGACACCAAAUGAUUAUUCUCUGAAUAAGAAUUUAUGUUUUAAAGCUGACCCCUAUAGAAAUUUCUUAGGAAAAUAGGGACUAGACUCCUUAUCUUUUUCUUUCAAAUCUCAUCAGAGAGUGUCAAGUCUUCCUCCUACCCACAAAGGAGAGUCCUAAUUUAGAAUGCUAUUGGGGUGGAUAUCAGGAGAAAUCUCUAGGGUCCUACAAACACAUACCCCUCAUUGAUUGUGAUCAGCCUAGUACGUGUGGGCCUUUACCUCCCAACACACCAUGCCAAAGUGCCUGAUAUACUUUCAAAAUUCAGGGCCCACAUCUGGCCGACACCCACUCCUUCCCCAACCCUCACUGUGUAGGCCAUACCUUGGCAACCAGACCAUUGUGUCUUGGAAGUGCGUUCCACCCAGGCUGAAAAUCUCUGAUCACGCGUAUGCCAGCCUCUCCUGCCUCGUCCUCUGGGGCCAAUUUGGAGACACAUUCAUCUUUUUUCUCCUCCGUGUUCUCCUCAGGGGUUGGGUGGCUCUUGCUUCACAGAUGGCAGGCCUGGGUCUACUGCCUUGCUGGGGCAGUCAGGCACCAAUACAAGAGAAAUCAGGACAGCUGUGUCUGGUGUCCACUCGUCCUACGUAUUUGCCUUCUCUCGCUUCCCCUCGGGUAAGGCCACAACCCAACUCAGGUCAGAGCACUGGGCCUCCUGCAGCAGGGCUUCUGUGAGCUGCAACAGGGCCUGGGGGCAGCACAAAGCCACCAUCUACUUCCUGCCUGCUUCUUUGGAGCCUGGGUAUGGUCUGGUUAGGCUGUGGGAGUAGCCAAGCUGGGCUUCAAGGUAGUGCCAACAUGGUGCCGUCACGCAGAGCUGGGCCUUUUUCGACAGCCAUAAGGUGGGGGUGAUCCUGCCCCAUCCUCAGCUUCUGACCAGACACUGGGCAGCAGCCGCUUCAUGGCAAACUGCAGGCACUGGCGCCAGUGACACUUCUGGAGCUUCUGGUUGCUGCCCCCGAAUGUGGGCUUGUUGCAGCAGAAGUCGCAGCGGACACAGUCCAUUCACCGUAAGCGGGCUGAGCGACCUGGCAGUUGCGGUUCUGCCGGCGGUUCAUGCAGGGCUGUAGCUCGUCCUCGUCCACACAGUAAUAGAUGAACUCGCCAGGAGGCAAGGGCCCAGGGCUCUGCGGUACAGCUCUGUGGGCUGCGAAGAGGAAGGUGGAGGCAGUAGCCGGGCUCCGGGGCACCGCCUAGUAGCCACCUUUGUUGGCGUCACAGUUUCCCCUGCGGCCGCCAUGUUUACCCCGUAGGCGACGUCGCUGGACUAUUUCCACUGGCGCCUGAGACCAAAGCACGGAGAGCGAAGGCAGAUGCAGAAACCGCCACAGUCCUCUUGGGUCUGACAGCCCCAGCAUACUCUACACCCUCGGCUAUUAAACAUUCUCUGUUCCCGGUUAAAGGCAAUUCUCCAUGCUCGGCAGUCUUUGCACGACAUUUUGAGCUGCUGCCUUUGGGUGCCAUCUCCUGAGAAGCUGAUUCCACAGUUCUCACAGUGACCAGGAGCAGGGAAUGAAGCUGGGGCUGUGUCAGUGUCAGCCUUGGUCUCAUCCCUCGGGGCCUCCUUUCUGAUCUCACCACUCUGUGGUCCAACCUCACAUUUCCGAGUCUUGGCGGUGAAGGCUUCUUUCCCUUCUUGCUGGCGACAGCCACGAAUGGGCCUUGGCAGCUGGAUAGCACAAGAUGCCUUGUUUGCCGUCGAAGAGGGUGAGCUACCUGUGAUACGCAGAGCCCAGGUAUCGAGUCAGCUCUACCUUGCUUCGGAUCCUGUCUCCUCUGGUGAUAGGUGUCUGAGCGUCCGCAGCCUGCAUCUGGACAAGUCGAUAAGAAAGCAUGAAUGCUCUCCUUUUCAGUGGCAAUGGGAAGUUCAGAUCACACAAUAUCAAUCAACCUGACCUGAUGAGGACCCCACCCUGCUCUCCCCAGAAAGCUUCGCUAUAUGUGACCAUCUAGUUGAAGAAAAACAAGCUCAGGGCUCCCACUGAUUCCACAUUAUGCUGGUGAUUUAAAGGAUCCUGGCACCUCCUCCUUCUUCUCCUGCUCCUUCUCUCACCAUAUGGUGCUGACUACUCUUCUUCCACAAUGAUUUUCAGAUUGCUGAGGCCUCGCCAGAAGGUAAACAGAUGUGAGUGUCAUGCUUGUACACCUAGCAAAACUGUGAGCCAAAUAAACCUCUUUUUCUUAUAAAUUACCCAGCCUCAGCAUUCUUUUAUAGCUAUGAAAAAUGGAUUAAUACAAUAUUAC